rnacentral:rRNA from 1 species
UACAGAGACUGCAAGCGUUAUUCGGAUUCACUGGGCGUAAAGGGUGCGCAGGUGGCCAGGUGUGUGAGGCGUGAAAGCCCGGGGCUUAACCCCGGAAUUGCACCUCAAACUACUUGGCUAGAGCAUUGGAGAGGGGAGCAGAAUUCAUGGUGUAGCAGUGAAAUGCGUAGAGUAUCAAUGAGGAAUACCAGAGGCGAAGGCGGCUCCCUGGACAAUUGCUGACACUCAGGCACGAAAGCGUGGGGAGCAAAGGG